CUGCAGCCCGAGUGGUGAUCGAUUUUAUUGAGCCUAAAGCGUCCGUAGCCGGACUAGUAAACCCUUGGGUAAAUUGGGCAGCUUAACUGUCCAAAUUCCGAGGGGACUGCUAGUCUUGGGACCGGGAGAGGUCAGAGGUACUCAAGGGGUAGGGGCUAAAUCCUGUAAUCCUUUGGGGGCCACCAGUGGCGAAGGCGUCUGACUAGAACGGAUCCGACGGUAAGGGACGAAACCCUGGGGCGCGAACCGGAUUAGAUACCCGAGUAGUCC
rnacentral:rRNA from 1 species